rnacentral:rRNA from 1 species
GAUGAACGCUGGCGGCGUGCUUAACACAUGCAAGUCGAACGAGAAGUGGAGACGGAAACCUUCGGGCGGAAGACUUUAUUUCGAGUGGCGGACGGGUGAGUAACGCGUGGGUAACCUGCCUCAUACAGGGGGAUAACAGUUGGAAACGACUGUUAAUACCGCAUAAGACCACAGCACCGCAUGGUGCGGGGGUAAAAACUCCGGUGGUAUGAGAUGGACCCGCGUUCGAUUAGCCAGUUGGCGGGGUAACGGCCCACCAAAGCGACGAUCGAUAGCCGAUCUGAGAGGAUGACCGGUCACAUUGGGACUGAGACACGGCCCAAACUCCUACGGGAGGCAGCAGUGGGGAAUAUUGCACAAUGGGGGAAACCCUGAUGCAGCGACGCCGCGUGAGUGAAGAAGUAUUUCGGUAUGUAAAGCUCUAUCAGCAGGGAAGAAAAUGACGGUACCUGAGUAAGAAGCCCCGGCUAACUACGUG